rnacentral:lncRNA from 1 species
CUUCCUUCCAGGAAGCAAUUCUCCCGACAUAUUUUCCGUAUGCAAAGUGACCUCAGUGUGACCCAUCUCGUAAAAAUCCGGUGAUCGCAAUACGCAUGGAUGUCCUUAAAAUAAACUAUUAUCUGAAUUUACAUGUUAAACACGUGCUCAAUUUCCAUGCUUUUUUGUUUAUUUUUUGUUGAUUGUUGACAAACAGGUGACAAUCGUUAAACUUCGGCUUCAAAAGACGAACUUUAAUUACCUGCCAUAUUUUCACAACAACACUGACCGAUAGAGAAAAAAAAUUGACGAUUAUACGAAAUUUAUGCGAAAAAAAUGAAAAAUUCUUGAACAGAAGACUAAGUUUAUAAUGUUUGUAUGCAUUGGUUCAAGAAUUGGAAGAACAUUAUUUUUCACCGGU